UGUGAUGUUGCUAAAUAGUGUCCUUAUUUGUUUUAUAUCCUAAAAUCCUGAUUAUGUAAACAAACACACAAAAAAAUGAUACUGAAUGUUGCCCACUUUGUGACUGUCCAGCUGAAUGAUCACAAAAACUGUGGACGACAACAACGCCAGAGCUCUCAGCCCCCUUCCCCUUCCCAGUCCCCCUCCCCUUCUCACUCCCCCUCCCCUUCCCAGUCCCCCUCCCCUUCCCAGUCCCCCUCCCCUUCCCAGUCCCCAUCAGCUUCCCAGUCCCCCUCAGCUUCCCAGUCCCCCUCAGCUUCCCAGUCCCCCUCAGCUUCCAACGCCCCCUCAGCUUCCCAGGCCCACUCCACUUUCCACUCCCCUUCUCACACCACCUCUCCAUCUCUUUCUGUGACCCCUUCUCCUCCUUCCCAUACCCCUUCUCCUUCAACUUCAAAAUCCCCUUCUCAGCCCCCCUCACCCUCUAUUGGCUUAACUUUCUCUCCGCCCCCCUCGCCCUCUCAAUCAGACCCACCCUCUGAAAUUUUUUGCCCAAUCCAGCCUCCUUCCCCCAUCCCUCCUCCUUCCCCCAUCCCUCCUCCUUCCCCAAUCCCUCCUCCUUCCCCCAUCCACCCGCCUUCCCCCAUCCAGCCGCCUUCCCCACCCAGUGAGUGGGCACAAGAAGCACCUGAUGAUUUUCCUGCCAACCAUCAUGUUGCAGAGGAAAAUGUUGCCGUUGGAGAUCCCACUUCUUUUGGGGACAUUCUUCAAAACAUGAAGAUACAUUUACAGGCCUUGCUGGGUCUGGUUGACAAAAUGCAAAAGUUGCAUUAGUUUUGUUUACCAAAUGUUAAUAAUUUAAUUUUUUCUAUUAUAAAAAUA